CCCCCAGUAGCGGCGAGCGAACGGGGAGGAGCCCAGAGCCUGAAUCAGUGUGUGUGUUAGUGGAAGCGUCUGGAAAGGCGCGCGAUACAGGGUGACAGCCCCGUACACAAAAAUGCACAUGCUGUGAGCUCGAUGAGUAGGGCGGGACACGUGGUAUCCUGUCUGAAUAUGGGGGGACCAUCCUCCAAGGCUAAAUACUCCUGACUGACCGAUAGUGAACCAGUACCGUGAGGGAAAGGCGAAAAGAACCCCGGCGAGGGGAGUGAAAAAGAACCUGAAACCGUGUACGUACAAGCAGUGGGAGCACGCUUAGGCGUGUGACUGCGUACCUUUUGUAUAAUGGGUCAGCGACUUAUAUUCUGUAGCAAGGUUAACCGAAUAGGGGAGCCGAAGGGAAACCGAGUCUUAACUGGGCGUUAAGUUGCAGGGUAUAGACCCGAAACCCGGUGAUCUAGCCAUGGGCAGGUUGAAGGUUGGGUAACACUAACUGGAGGACCGAACCGACUAAUGUUGAAAAAUUAGCGGAUGACUUGUGGCUGGGGGUGAAAGGCCAAUCAAACCGGGAGAUAGCUGGUUCUCCCCGAAAGCUAUUUAGGUAGCGCCUCGUGAAUUCAUCUCCGGGGGUAGAGCACUGUUUCGGCAAGGGGGUCAUCCCGACUUACCAACCCGAUGCAAACUGCGAAUACCGGAGAAUGUUAUCACGGGAGACACACGGCGGGUGCUAACGUCCGUCGUGAAGAGGGAAACAACCCAGACCGCCAGCUAAGGUCCCAAAGUCAUGGUUAAGUGGGAAACGAUGUGGGAAGGCCCAGACAGCCAGGAUGUUGGCUUAGAAGCAGCCAUCAUUUAAAGAAAGCGUAAUAGCUCACUGGUCGAGUCGGCCUGCGCGGAAGAUGUAACGGGGCUAAACCAUGCACCGAAGCUGCGGCAGCGACACUGUGUGUUGUUGGGUAGGGGAGCGUUCUGUAAGCCUGUGAAGGUGUACUGUGAGGUAUGCUGGAGGUAUCAGAAGUGCGAAUGCUGACAUAAGUAACGAUAAAGCGGGUGAAAAGCCCGCUCGCCGGAAGACCAAGGGUUCCUGUCCAACGUUAAUCGGGGCAGGGUGAGUCGACCCCUAAGGCGAGGCCGAAAGGCGUAGUCGAUGGGAAACAGGUUAAUAUUCCUGUACUUGGUGUUACUGCGAAGGGGGGACGGAGAAGGCUAUGUUGGCCGGGCGACGGUUGUCCCGGUUUAAGCGUGUAGGCUGGUUUUCCAGGCAAAUCCGGAAAAUCAAGGCUGAGGCGUGAUGACGAGGCACUACGGUGCUGAAGCAACAAAUGCCCUGCUUCCAGGAAAAGCCUCUAAGCAUCAGGUAACAUCAAAUCGUACCCCAAACCGACACAGGUGGUCAGGUAGAGAAUACCAAGGCGCUUGAGAGAACUCGGGUGAAGGAACUAGGCAAAAUGGUGCCGUAACUUCGGGAGAAGGCACGCUGAUAUGUAGGUGAAGCGACUUGCUCGUGGAGCUGAAAUCAGUCGAAGAUACCAGCUGGCUGCAACUGUUUAUUAAAAACACAGCACUGUGCAAACACGAAAGUGGACGUAUACGGUGUGACGCCUGCCCGGUGCCGGAAGGUUAAUUGAUGGGGUUAGCGGUAACGCGAAGCUCUUGAUCGAAGCCCCGGUAAACGGCGGCCGUAACUAUAACGGUCCUAAGGUAGCGAAAUUCCUUGUCGGGUAAGUUCCGACCUGCACGAAUGGCGUAAUGAUGGCCAGGCUGUCUCCACCCGAGACUCAGUGAAAUUGAACUCGCUGUGAAGAUGCAGUGUACCCGCGGCAAGACGGAAAGACCCCGUGAACCUUUACUAUAGCUUGACACUGAACAUUGAGCCUUGAUGUGUAGGAUAGGUGGGAGGCUUUGAAGUGUGGACGCCAGUCUGCAUGGAGCCGACCUUGAAAUACCACCCUUUAAUGUUUGAUGUUCUAACGUGGACCCGUGAUCCGGGUUGCGGACAGUGUCUGGUGGGUAGUUUGACUGGGGCGGUCUCCUCCUAAAGAGUAACGGAGGAGCACGAAGGUUGGCUAAUCCUGGUCGGACAUCAGGAGGUUAGUGCAAUGGCAUAAGCCAGCUUGACUGCGAGCGUGACGGCGCGAGCAGGUGCGAAAGCAGGUCAUAGUGAUCCGGUGGUUCUGAAUGGAAGGGCCAUCGCUCAACGGAUAAAAGGUACUCCGGUGAUAACAGGCUGAUACCGCCCAAGAGUUCAUAUCGACGGCGGUGUUUGGCACCUCGAUGUCGGCUCAUCACAUCCUGGGGCUGAAGUAGGUCCCAAGGGUAUGGCUGUUCGCCAUUUAAAGUGGUACGCGAGCUGGGUUUAGAACGUCGUGAGACAGUUCGGUCCCUAUCUGCCGUGGGCGCUGGAGAACUGAGGGGGGCUGCUCCUAGUACGAGAGGACCGGAGUGGACGCAUCACUGGUGUUCGGGUUGUCAUGCCAAUGGCACUGCCCGGUAGCUAAAUGCGGAAGAGAUAAGUGCUGAAAGCAUCUAAGCACGAAACUUGCCCCGAGAUGAGUUCUCCCUGACUCCUUGAGAGUCCUGAAGGAACGUUGAAGACGACGACGUUGAUAGGCCGGGUGUGUAAGCGCAGCGAUGCGUUGAGCUAACCGGUACUAAUGAACCGUGAGGCUUAACCU
rnacentral:rRNA from 1 species